UAGUUAGAUAGUUGGUUUGGUUAGUCUGUUAGUGUUUGUAGAUUUAGAGGGUUUUAGUUAGAUGCUGAGUUCAGUUGUAGUGUCAGUGUAGCUCUAUAUGUUAUAUUUUAUUAUUGAUUUAUUUGUGUAUGUAAAUAAAGUUUCUUUUUGUUUUAUUUAUCCUAAAGUAAAAGUUUCGUUAUUGCUUUCUUUUAGUUAGCUAGAUUAGUUUAGUUUAGUUUAAUUGUGCUGUCUGGUUGCUUAGGCAACUCUAGCCCCUUGGUCGCAGACCGAGGUGCACAGAUUGGGCCCACCCAGUAGAGCUACCACCUGCCUACUGUUACAAAUGAAUUUAAUGUUGAGCAGCAGAAGAGAAUAGGCCACCACACUCGCGCCUGCCUGACCUGCUCACAUUUUUGGUGUCAGAAGUGGGAUCUGUGCUUAAGUAAUCAGACACACAUUGUUUUCUUAGGGAUUAGGUUGUUAGUUUUUUUUUGAGGCUUUUGUUAGGAUUGCAUAGGUUGGUAUUAGUUUUAGGUUUGGAUAGCAGUAGGAAUCAGUGUUGGAGAAUUUAUUUUGUUGUUGGUUGUUAGAAUAUAGGAUAUGGAUAGUUUAGUUUGUUGUUUGAGUUUUGUUUUAUGUAGUGGUCUUCGUUAUGGUCAGUAGUGAGUUGGUUUUAAUGUUACUUGGAGAUGUAGUUCUAGGAAGUUGUUGUAGUGCGUUGUGAGGUAGUUAGUAUUGUUGUUAUGGGUUAGGGUUAGAGUUGAAGUGUUAGGUUAGGUUGGCAGAAUGGCAGCAGCGGCAGGAAGGAUGCAGCGGUCCCAGGCUGAUGUGGAGGGGCCUCGGAAUGGCAUGAUCCGAGGACAAGUCUGCAGCUCUCUCAUGCCUUCGGAGAGAUGUCAGCCCAAUGUUAACGGAUGGCGAGAUGGCAGUUGAAGUCUGGACUGAUGGGUCAUCGCCAAACUUUGUUAUUGAAUGUGUUAAGCGAUACUACCAAAACUUAGACAGUUCCAGCACAGGUUUUUUUGCAAGUAGCCAUGUACUGGACUGACAGAGGUGCCCCACUUCCACCUCUGUGUUAUAAACAACUGGGCCAGUUUGUCCAAUUAGGACGACUGUCCGCCCAGUUGCAACGUAUGGUUUAAUGGCCCUCACAUCUUGAGGUCGCCACUGAAGAAAGCCUUCCACGUCAUCUUUCUGUAAACCACAUGGAUUUCGCUCCUCACUUACUGGGUGUCCUGUGUCAGCCACUGGUCAUCUCUACUGGACAGCGGUGGUGGACCGGCCAGAGAUGAAGAAGUCGUCAAGAGCAGAGCAAACCUGUCGUGUCUUUUUCCCUUUUAUUAAAUGUUUUUUAUAUGUUCUUAUCACACUGUUCAUUGUGUGGCUCCUUUUAUACUUUGACUUGUUUUAAUGUAUUUAUGCAUAUUAUUUUUAAUUUGUAUUUAUGCUUUUAUGUAUUUCAAAUAAUGAUUAAUUUUUUUGAGUAUGUUCCAUGGGUGUUUGCAUGUGUUGCAACCCAAUAAGUUUUUUGUAAGUCUUUAUUGGGCUCUCAAAAGCCAAUAUUGUGCUUGAAUGUUGUAGUUGCUGUAGUAAUAUGCUGUAUGUACGAUUUUUCUAGUCGUGUAAUUUUCGAUGUUGCCGUCAAGGUACUCGUUAAUGUUGUUUUGCCUUGGAGGCCAUGACAUAGAUAAAUGGCACAUUGCAGCACUCGGUAGUUGCCUUUGUAAGGCAUAUAAUGGUUUUUGUUAUUGCCUUUGGAAGGCCAUGUAAUGUCUUUUUGUGAGUAGUUUCGACUUUUUUUUGCUUUGUGAGGUAGGAAGUUUUUUUACUUUUUUGAAGUACUUAAGGUACUCAUUAAUGUCAUGUUAGGUUGAAUUGGCUGACAGUGGUCCUUUUAUUUUUUUAUUUUCUAUGUCUCAUCACCACUGUUGGAUGCCCUGUGUUUUUGUUAUAGCACUGUAACUUCAGGUUGUGUUAUGACACUUUGAGUGUACCAUUUUUUAAUGUUUUGGUCUUUGUGACCAUUGUGAGCCUUCAGUGGCUGGCCAUAAGUCUGUGUGACUAUGGGCCUGUUGAAGCCUUGGUGGCUUUGUAUAAGUCUGUGUGACUAUGGGCCAUAAGUCUGUGUGACUAUGGACCUGUUUGAAGCCUUGGUGGCUUUGUAUAAGUCUGUGUGACUUUGUUUUAGCCUGUGUGGCUAAGGAACUGAGUUAAGCCUCAUAGAGUUCCUGUUGGUCUGUGUGCCUAAGUUUAUCAUGUUUGGCUAGGGCGUCAUUUGCUCCAACCAUGUAGUUUUCGUUAAUUACUUUUGUCGUUCCAUUUUUUUAAAGAUGUCAUGCACUAUAUUUUGUAUUACCUGUAUUUUUAUUGUUUUCUGUUGAAAGCUUUGCCACUUGUGAAGCCAUUUAGUACUGAGAGCUAUGGUUAUAGUUCUCCGUUCUCUUGUAUGAAU